rnacentral:lncRNA from 1 species
AGACAAGAAUAGGUAACGAAUAAUUGUUCGUACGCGGUUUAUUACGCAUAUGUGUGAGCGUCCUUUUAAAAAUAGAGCAAGUAAAGUUUGUCUGUUAAUUGCCGUUUUCAUUUUAGUAUAUCGACUGUCGCAAACAUUAAAAUAUUUUUAUUUUACGCGAGAUUUAUUGGAGUGAACAUGAUUCGUGUUACUCAUUCAAAAAUUAAUACGGUUUAUGUUGCAUUUAUAAUAUUACAUUUUGUCACAAUUGAAGAUGUGCAUUGCGGUAAGUGUGUAUUGCUUAACGCCUCACGAUACGACCAAACCGCGGAAACAGAACUGAAACAUAUUAUUAACUAGUUAUUUAUUUUAACUGAAUACAAAUUUAAAAAAAUUUACAAAUAUUAAUCUUUUUUAUCUAUUUGAAUCAAAUUUGUCACCAAGUAAACUUAAACAUUAUUUAUGUGAACAUUUUAUGAAUAAAUAUUUUAGACUUAAUACUUAAUUUUUAGUUAGCGAUUCAGAAGAACCGGAAGAAUUUGAAAGUUUUACUGGAUCACCAAAACACGGUACUCCUUUGAAUAAUAAAUAACAACGAGAAAAAUAGUUAUAAAAAAUGUAUACUUACUGAAAAAAAUAUGUAUAUUUUCAAUUAUUUGAAUAAUCCCACCCACUAUUAAUGUGUCAACAAAUCGCUGUGUCCCUUAAAAUGUUUCUUGUAUUCGGUGCAUUAAUUUAUAGUACUGUAAUGAAACAUAUAAGUCAUUUAAUUGUUUCUUAUUUGAAAUUGAAUACAAUGAUUUAUUAAUUAUAAAUUGUAUACUAUUCAGUAUAGGCUCCUCCCGAAAUACUAAGUGUUGAACUAUGUACAGUUGUAUGUAUUAUUAUGACGUUAUAAUUGUGUAGUUAAAUAAUUAAUAUUAUAAUGAAUUUCCUGUUGCUAUACAAACUUAGGUAUUACAUACGAUCCUAAAUGUGUAUUAUAUAAUGCAUUAUGUGUAUCAAAAAAUUGUUCUAUAAUUUAUUACGUAUUGUAUUCGUAAUUUAAAUAAAAAUAAUCAAUAAUGCAUAAAGAGUAAUAGGAAGGAGACACCGUUAUAUUUUUGGGAAAGAACAUCAACUACGUUUUUUUAAGAAUUAAUCUAAGCUUAUCAGAGUUUAGAAUUUAGGACUCGACAUUUACUUUUGUCAGACUUUUGUUUUUCAAAUUGUAUUCUUUAAGUGUUUACAGUAGUAUAAUUAUAAUGGAUAAUUGUGAUGUUCAUAUUAUAAUGCCCUAAAGAAAUAAGGAAUUGUUUUGUGAAUAAUGAAAUUUUUAUUUCAUAUUUUUAUAUAAAUAAUGAGCAACCUCGCAUUGUAUGUAGAACCGUGUAAUAUUAUGAAAAAAAAAUUUAUUUUAUGUAUACAUGCGUAAUCCUAUAUGUAAAAUGGUAUAUUGUGUUGUCAAAACAAUUUUACUAACAUAGAUUAUUGAGGCAAAACCUUGAACAUUCAACAUGAAGUUAUUUCACAAAGUAUUUAAUUUAUUAAAGGCAACAAUAAUUACGUUCUUACCACUCCAAAAAAUAUAAAUCCGGUUUCUAAUGAUAACUAUGCGUGUAUUUUAUUUAUGCCAUAACUAAACAAAAAAUUACAUAAAUUAUUUUGAUUAAUUUGACUUAAUGGACAAAAAUAUAUCUUUCAGAUGCCUGGAUUUGAGAACCAAUUUAUUUCCACUGUAGUAUAUUAUCGAGAAAUGUACUCCAACCUUUUGAAAUUUAGAUAAACCGUUGUAAACUAUCUAUAUUCUGUUUACCAUAAUUUAUAAUUAUUUUACACAAAAAAGAUAUACCAAAAAACAAAGCAUUUCUUUUAAUCUUUUAUAUACAUCAAGAAUGGCUAAUUGGUCGAUCUCUGAAAUUUUAACUGUCGUUUUGUUAGAGUUUAUUUAUAUAAAAAUAGUAGAGAAAUCACAAUUGUUGAGAAUUUCGAUUACUAGAUAAUUUUGAUAUCAUUAAAACAGUUCGACAGUUUUAAUGCUGUCAAUGAAUUAUUGGGUUAUUUUAUUCAUAAAAUUACAUUAGUAAAGUCUUAAAAUAAUAUAUGUUGAAAAAUGUAUUUAAUUAUACAUUUUACUUUUUAUAAUACUAUUUUGUACCACAGGGCUUGGAAGAUCUUUAGAAGGAUGUAAGUUUUUUUUUUUUGUUAAUAUACUUUCGUUAUAAAUUAAUGUUGACGUAUCUUAUUUAGAAUACAGUUCUUGGUGGUAAUAUAGUUUGCCAUUUCAGUUGAUAAUUAAUUUACAAUUUUUUGACCUUUUCAUACUGUGUAAUGUUUUAUUUUUAUGUUAUUUUUUUUUUUUUAUAUAAUUCAUAAUUUUUGUUUUUGAUUAAUUAUUUUAAAUUAUUAUAAUUUUAUUCGUAUAGUAUUUUACGUCCAAACAGCACUAANGGUAAAACAAUACACAUACACUUUUUUUAAUGUCAGUACUGGUGUUUUAUACUCUUUAUACUCUUUUUAAUGGAAAAUAUAUAAUAGUAGUAGAAUCGGCAACAUUUAACCCAUGUGGUAUAUAGUAGUCUUCACAUAUAUAACGAAAACACGUGGAACAAGAGUCCCUGUGUUGGUGGGUCAAGAUUUUAUUCUUUGUGCUACCCCGUGGUUAGCGUAGCCCGUAAUAACGUCGAGGGGAAACGUACGCUUACAGACGAAGUAGAGUGAUUGAUUACUCAGGUUGCUUCUACGUGAUGACCUCGGUGAUACCGUCGUUGAUACUGUUGACUGAUGGCGACUUCGGUGCUCCAUGGUGCUACCGCGAUCUGUGGUGAUGUACAAGCUAAGGAAUAGAUAUAGAACGAUUAAAGAAUAAUAUGGAGGAUUUUAAUUUAUUCUCGAUAUUAUUAAUUUUCUUAUGGGUGUAUCACACCUGUAAUUUGAGCUUAAAACUAUAGUUGCCGAACAACAGAAUUAUUUAUAAUAUAUUAUAUUGUAUUGUAAUACCGUAAUACGGUAUUGUAUACCAUGACGCCGACCGUUACGCGUCAUUUUUUCGUAUUUUAUUAUUUAAAAAAAAAAUAUUUCUAUUUCUAUGUAUUUUAUAUAACGGACAAAUCUAAAAAUUAAUAAAUGAAUUAUAGAAAAAAAUUAGAUAAAAUUAAUUUUAUGCACAUUGUGGAAAGGUCAAAAACAUUUUAUGAAAUUUAUGCCCAAAUCAUGAAACGGGCAACUUUAUUAAGUGGAUGCGUCAUAUAAAUACAUAAUAAAUAUAUUGAUAUAAAAAUAUUACAUCGCCGAUAUAAUUAAACAUUUAUUUCUAUAUUUAUCUACAGAUAGGUAGUAAUGAUAUUUAGUUAAAAUCUAAUACAAUAAUUUACGAAUAUUUAUUUCUACUUUGUAUAUUUUUUUAGUUGGUGACGAGCCACGUGAGUUCAAUUUGCGUAAAAUAUGAUAAAAAGAAUAUUUUUAUAUGUAGGGUAAUUUAUUAGUAAUUCAAUAUCCAUAUCCUGGUAUGAAUGAAAUAAAUUAUGGUAUAAUGUGUAAAAAGAAAAUUUGUAUAAAUAAAAUAUAUUUUUAAAAGUAUUACCUUUAACCGGAAAUUGUUUUCUAGAACAUUUAUACAAUAUUAAUCUUUUUUAUCCAUUUGAAUUGAAUUUGGAACCAAGUAGACCUAAACAUUAUUUAUGUGAACAUUUUAUGAAUAAUUAUUUUAGACUUAAUAUUUAAUUUUUAGUUAGCGAUUCAGAAGAACCGGAAGAAUUUGAAACUUCGACUGGAUCAUCUAAAAACGG